GACGAACGCUGGCGGCGUGCCUAACACAUGCAAGUCCAGGAGAAUAAGUGCUUUCGGGUGCUUUAGUAAACUGGCGAACGGGUGAGUAACACGUAGAUAACCUGCCCUUGGAAUGGGGAUAACACUGCUAACGCGGUGCUAAUACCGAAUGAAGCGAUUUGAUCACAUGGUUGAAUUGUUAAAGCUGGCCUCUAUUUAUAAGCUAGCCUCUGAGGAUGGAUCUGCGCCCCAUUAGUUAGUUGGCGGGGUAACGGCCCACCAAGACUACGAUGGGUAGCCGGCCCGAGAGGGUGACCGGCCACACUGGGACUGAGAUACGGCCCAGACUCCUACGGGAGGCAGCAGUGAGGAAUAUUGCGCAAUGGCCGCAAGGCUGACGCAGCAACGCCGCGUGAGGGAUGAAGUUCUUCGGAAUGUAAACCUCUGUUAGAGGGGACGAAAGAUAGUGAGACGAACAGGUUCAUUAUUUGACGGUACCUUCAGAGAAAGCCCCGGCUAACUCCGUGCCAGCAGCCCGCGGUAACACGGGGGGGGGCAAGCGUUGUCCGGAAUUAUUUGGGCGUAAAGGGCGCGUAGGUGGGAAAGCAAGUCUGGGGUGCAAACU
rnacentral:rRNA from 1 species